AACGAACGCUGGCGGCAGGCUUAACACAUGCAAGUCGAACGCCCCGCAAGGGGAGCGGCCUACCGGCGCCUAACGCGGGGGAAUCUAGCCAUGUCUACGGACUAGCGCGUGGAAACGUGAGCUAAUACCGAAAACGCCCUGCAGGAGAAAGAGUUAUCGGAGAUGGAUGAGCCCGAGAUGGAUUAGAUAGUUGGUGGGGUAAAGGCCUACCAAGGCGACGAUCCAUAGCUGGUCUGAGAGGAUGAUCAGACACACUUGGACGGAGGCACGGUCCAGAAUCCUCCGGGAUGCAGCAGUGGGGAAUAUUGGACAAUGGGCGCAAGCCUGAUGCAGCCCGGCCGGGUGAGUGAUGAAGGUCCUAGGGUUGUAAAGCUCUUUCAACGGUUCAGCUCAUGACGGUAACCGGAGAAGAAGCCCCGGCUAACUUCGUGCCAGCCGCCGCAGUAAGAC
rnacentral:rRNA from 1 species